rnacentral:lncRNA from 1 species
UUUCGAGGCGAAAAUCAUCACACACGUGUAAAUUAAAAUCCAGAGGUAAAACAUUAGGGCAUCUCCAAUGGUUGUAAGAUAGUUGUUGGUAAUUUUGACACAUGGGAUUUUUGAUGAUGUGUCAUUGCAAUAAAUGAGGAAAGAGAACAAGGUUGUAUGUAAAUUAACCAACACCCUUGCACAAGCUCCAAUGUAGAAUGAGAGAGCACCUUAUUUAUUACCUCACAUCUUAUUGGGCAAACUAGAUACAACCCAUUGGAGUAGUUGUAUGUUAAGGUGUUGGCUGAUAACAUGGCAUAUUUUACCAACAAGCUAACCAACAAACUGUUGGAGAUGCCCUUACACCGAUUCCAAGUAGGCAAGAAAGAAGUUUGACAUCCGUCACCAAGCCAACUGCUGUCCUUCUCCAGCAUGCAUGCUCCUCGACAGAGACACUCGCGAUGCUUUCACCAUUCUUUAAUUUUUCACUGCUCAUGCAUGUUGGUUCCCAACUCCCAAGUGUGGUGUGCAAUGGUGCCGUCGGUCCGCGGGGCACGAGUUGCCGUGGCCACGCAUUGAAGUUGAAAGCACGCCGUGAG